GCGCGUUUAGCUCAGUGGUAGAGCGACUUUUUGACGUAAAGUAGGCCGGGGGUUCAAUCCCCUCAACGCGCACCA
rnacentral:tRNA from 1 species